GGGAGAGCUUGCUCUGUCCUCAAGGGUCAUUUGGUGGCAUGGAGAAUAAAGGAGGCUGUUGAUGCGCAACACUUAGUAGCACCCACCCCUGUGUCAACUUCUUAAAGCGUGCCCUGGUCAGAGAAGACAUCCACCCUUUGUGGCAGUUGACUGGCACAUGCUGGAGACAGAACAUGGCGGAAAGUACUUAUGAUCUUGUUCCUGCAGAGAUGUGACAGGAGAAAGCCAGGAAUGAAG
rnacentral:lncRNA from 1 species